UGAAAGUUGGCCAGGCUCAAGUGCGGCGGCAGACUGAAUUUGUUGCGCACAUCGGAACGCCGGUGCCCAAAAACAGGAGCAUCAACAGUCAGAACCAGGGCCUUGAAGUUUGCCUUUUCGGCGCGCCGAACUAGCUUCUCGGUGAGCAGUUGAAUCCCACCGUUCUUUGUAGAUAUAGAGCUGAAACCAUUUGCAGGUAUCCGGCGCCCCAGCCGACAAGUCCUCCAGUGAUGUGGUGGAAAGUGUGCUCAAAAUGAAUAUGGAACCAGCUUUGCCCGCGGCCCGCGCAUUACCGAUUUCACCAUCUGGAUGGGCCAUCUUCUGCAUUGCGGUUGGGGCAAUGCCCAGCGGCCAUUUAAGCUGGUGUCCAAGGAUCUUACAGCCCAGAUCUAGCUGUGAAACAUCGCGAAGAAAACGUGGACGCAGACGCAACCUUUUAAAAGCCUCGCGAUUUAGUCCAAGCGUAAACUGUUCUCCUGCACCGCUUUUGUAAUAAUCCAAGGCAUUCUUCUCCAGUUGACUGCUAGCCCUUUUCUCAAAGUCCUCCACACAAACCAGCUCCAUGUCGCUGAGUAAGUUAUGUAACAAAUUAUAAUAUGGACCAGAUAUUGUUGCCGGCAGUGUUCGCUGCUCUCGCUCGACUGAAUCUCAGUUCUUAUAAUCUUAGCUGCUCGUAUCAGCGGCAUUUCUAAAUGUUAGUAGCUGAUAACUUAUACUAGACAAACACUUCAGGUCGAGCAGAGCAGAUCUGUGUAGUUCACAGAGAUGGAAAAAAAUAAACAAACUAAAAACAAA